rnacentral:rRNA from 1 species
AGGACGAACGCUGGCGGCGUGCUUAACACAUGCAAGUCGAGCGGAAAGGCCCUUCGGGGUACUCGAGCGGCGAACGGGUGAGUAACACGUGAGCAACCUGCCCCUGGCUCUGGGAUAGCUCCGGGAAACCGGGAUUAAUACCGGAUGUGACCUUCUCCUGCAUGGGAGUUGGUGGUAAAGUUUUUCGGCUGGGGAUGGGCUCGCGGCCUAUCAGCUUGUUGGUGGGUGAUGGCCUACCAGGCGACGACGGGUA